GACGAACGCUGGCGGCGUGCUUAACACAUGCAAGUCGAACGGAAAGGCCCUGCUUUUGUGGGGUGCUCGAGUGGCGAACGGGUGAGUAACACGUGAGUAACCUGCCCUUGACUUUGGGAUAGCUUCAGGAAACUGGGGCUAAUACCGGAUAGGAGCUCCUGCUGCAUGGUGGGGGUUGGAAAGUUUCGGCGGUUGGGGAUGGACUCGCGGCUUAUCAGCUUGUUGGUGGGGUAGUGGCUUACCAAGGCUUUGACGGGUAGCCGGCCUGAGAGGGUGACCGGCCACAUUGGGACUGAGAUACGGCCCAGACUCCUACGGGAGGCAGCAGUGGGGAAUCUUGCACAAUGGGCGGAAGCCUGAUGCAGCAACGCCGCGUGCGGGAUGACGGCCUUCGGGUUGUAAACCGCUUUCGCCUGUGACGAAGCGUGAGUGACGGUAAUGGGUAAAGAAGCACCGGCUAACUACGUG
rnacentral:rRNA from 1 species